rnacentral:rRNA from 1 species
CAGCCGCCACGGGAAUACGGAGGGUGCAAGCGUUAAUCGGAAUUACUGGGCGUAAAGCGCACGCAGGCGGUCUGUUAAGUCAGAUGUGAAAUCCCCGGGCUCAACCCGGGAACUGCAUUUGAAACUGGCAGGCUUGAGUCUUGUAGAGGGGGGUAGAAUUCCAGGUGUAGCGGUGAAAUGCGUAGAGAUCUGGAGGAAUACCGGUGGCGAAGGCGGCCCCCUGGACAAAGACUGACGCUCAGGUGCGAAAGCGUGGGGAGCAAACAGGAUUAGAUACCCCAGUAGUCCCUGUCUCUUAUAC